rnacentral:sRNA from 1 species
AAGCACAAGUACAUUC